rnacentral:RNase_P_RNA from 1 species
GCAGGCGGCCGGAUGAUCGCUGCCGCGCAAGCCGCGAGGCUAAGCACGGGAGAGGAAAGUCCGAACUCCGCAGGGCAGUGUGCCGGAUAACGUCCGGGACGGAUGGUUCAAGCCAUCUGGACGGCCAGUGCAACAGAGAACAUACCGCCUCGCGCAAGCGGGGUAAGGGUGAAAAGGUGCGGUAAGAGCGCACCGCGCGGUCAGUAAUGAACGCGGCAUGGUAAACCCCACACGGAGCAAGACCAAAUAGGCAGGGACUUCGCCGCUUCUCUCCAGGCGGCGAUGGCGUAUCGGCCCGGUGCGCCCAGGCGGAGAGACCGGCAGAGAACGAAAGUUCAAAACCGGAGCCGAAACCUGCGGGUAGGUUGCUAAA